UACCACCGAAAGUCGUUUGAAUGAAGUGGGGACACAGAAGGAUAGACAGAGCACGCCGUUGGUAGAGCGUGUCCAAGCAGUGAGGCUUGUGCGUAGGCAAAUCCGCGCACUUUAAGGCUAGGCUGUGAUGGGGAGGGAAAAAAGUACCGGAAGCUGUUGAUUUCACACUGUCAAGAAAAGCCGCUAGCGAGACCGUAGGUGCCCGUACCGCAAACCGACACAGGUAGAUGAGGAGAGAAUCCUAAGGUGAGCGAGAGAACUAUUGUUAAGGAACUCGGCAAAAUAACCCCGUAACUUCGGGAGAAGGGGUGCCUGCGAAAGCAGGCCGCAGUGAAAAGGCCCAGGCGACUGUUUACCAAAAACACAGGUCUCUGCAAAAGCGAAAGCUGAAGUAUAGGGGCUGACGCCUGCCCGGUGCUGGAAGGUUAAGGGGACUGCUUAGAGCAAUCGAAGGCAUGAACUUAAGCCCCAGUAAACGGCGGCCGUAACUAUAACGGUCCUAAGGUAGCGAAAUUCCUUGUCAGGUAAGUUCUGACCCGCACGAAAGGCGUAACGAUCUGGGCACUGUCUCAACAAUAGACUCGGUGAAAUUGUAGUACCGGUAAAGAUGCCGGUUACCCGCAGCAGGACGGAAAGACCCCGUGGAGCUUUACUGUAGUCUGAUAUUGGAUUUCGGCGUUGCAUGUACAGGAUAGGUGGGAGACUGAGAGGCUAGUACGCCAGUAUUAGCGGAGUCACCGUUGGGAUACCACCCUUGUAACGUUGAGGUUCUAACCGCGUGCCGUGACCCGGUGCCGGGACAGUGUCAGAUGGGCAGUUUGACUGGGGCGGUCGCCUCCCAAAGAGUAACGGAGGCGCCCAAAGGUUCCCUCAGUGCGGACGGAAAUCGCACGAAGAGUGUAAAGGCAGAAGGGAGCUUGACUGCGAGACAAACAGGUCGAGCAGGGACGAAAGUCGGGCUUAGUGAUCCGGUGGUUCCGAGUGGAAGGGCCAUCGCUCAACGGAUAAAAGCUACCCCGGGGAUAACAGGCUGAUACCCCCCAAGAGUCCACAUCGACGGGGGUGUUUGGCACCUCGAUGUCGGCUCGUCGCAUCCUGGGGCUGAAGUAGGUCCCAAGGGUUGGGCUGUUCGCCCAUUAAAGAGGUACGCGAGCUGGGUUCAGAACGUCGUGAGACAGUUCGGUCCCUAUCCGCUGUGGGCGUUGGAGAUUUGAGUGGAGCUGUUCUUAGUACGAGAGGACCGGGAUGGACAUACCUCUGGUGCACCAGUUGUUCUGCCA
rnacentral:rRNA from 1 species